rnacentral:lncRNA from 10 species
UCAUAACAAGAGAAAUUUAUUGCUCACAGUUCUGGAGCCUGGGAAGUCCAAGAUCAACGUACCAGCAGAUUCAGAUGAAGGCGUGUUCUCAGCUUCAUAGGUGGUGCAUUCUUGCUGCUUCUUCACAUGAUGGAAGGAGUGAACAAGCUCCCUUGGGCCUCUUUUACAAAGAUGGCAAAGAAGGAGAGAAGAGAAGAAGUAGCCAGACAUUGGAAAGAAACAGCUUGACUUCAGAGGAAUGGCUUGAUGGUGGGACUUAGGAGAAGUGUACAGCAGGGGACUGCUGGACUCCAUGGGAAGAUCACCUUCCCACUCCAUCCCCCUUCCAGCUCCCCAUCCUGCUGGGAGCCACUUUCAUCAGUAAUAAAAUUCUCCGCAUUCAUCACCCUUCAAUUUUUUCAUGCAACCUUGGUUGCAAGGACUCAGGUGGAGAGACGAAGGAUCAAGCAAUGUGACUGGUAGAAACUGUGUUAUACAAGGUAAACCAAGAGAGAAUUGUGCAAAAAUGUCUUCAGGGUCACUUCUUUCCCUAACUUGGUCCCUCAGAGUUCUUUCCACUAGAUAUCCAGUGUGUUCAACCUAACUCCUAUCUGCAGUGGGCCUCCAAAUAUUGCACCCCUAUGGGCAGGGCUGUGUGUCAUUUCCCUGGCCCCUAUCUGGGUCAAAACUGUCAUUCCUCCAGGGACCUGCUGGGCAACUAGCAAACUAAUCUUCAAUGUAUUUUACCCAAGGUGUUAAUGACAGAUAAUGGCUUAAUGCAUUACCCCUCCCAGCUAACAUUUCCAUUUUAAUAGAGCCUUUAAAUGCUUUAACCUGAAGGAAACAGCAUGAAAAAUGCAGGGAUAGCAAAUAUCUGGCACCUUUGCUCCUUCCCUGUUCCUGGAAGACAUCUUCAAAUGGUCACUGAGGCUUUUCCUGCUAUGCCUGGACAUACCCUGAGAAGCCCAUAGGGCCCUGGGCAGCCCCUACCAGCCUAUGAUGGGAGUUACCAUGCAAGAUGAAAUCUAUUUGCCAACCUUAUCGUGAAACAAAUAUUUGUCCAGGAGUAAAAAGACCUGAAUUCUACUUUGGGGCUUUGACAUUACCUGGACAUAGGGCCUAAACAAAUUUAUUAGACAUUUCCAAGUCUCAGUUUCCUUACCCAUAAAAUGAGAGGACUGGCAUUAGAGUCAAGCAUUUCCAAAGCAUAGUUCUCAAUCUGCCAGGGACUCUCAAAAUCUGACCUCACAGCUCUCCAAGCUGGUUGCUGCUACCACGUACCUCUUCCCAUUUUUGCCUUGCUUCCCACAAGGGAAGGAAAUUCACUCCCAACUGGGCACCACCUUUCUAUCUCUAUUUGGGGACCUUCCUGUCCCUGAAAGGCCCUGGGAACAUAAUGUAAAGCAACUAUGGGGGCAGCUGCUAAGAAGCCAGAUCUUGUGACACUAAGAGUCCAGUCACGUGGUUCAGAGUCCACAGCAACCUGUGGCGACUAUGCAGUCAUCAGCCAGAGAGGCAGAGCCUCUGUCUGGAGAUGUGUCAGAAAUGGGUGUGACUAGUCCCAGACACAUCAAGUGAGGAAAAAUCAGGUGUGCAGAUUACGUUGUGUAAAUGCCUUUCUAAUUCUCAAUGCUCCAGGAAGGAAUCUCAGAGAUUAAAUUAAGCUGUUAACCCUCUAGGCGCUCCUGUCGUUUAUUGUUAAGGAAUUAAUAGGAAUGCGGGAAUGCAGAUGGCCUGGCUGUCAGCUCGGAGAGGCGAUUUUUCUGAUCUCCAAGGAGGUUUCCAGCAUCUUUCAUUAAGCACUCGUGUACCAACUUGUCAUUUUAACCGAGCAGCAAAGAAACUCCCACUCAACUGCCUACCUCAGGUGCUGGGAGUGCAAUCCUCGGAGGAGUCUUUCUGGGUUGCAGGUGCAGGGGAGGCGCCCAGGUGAUGGGGGUGGGGUGCAGCGAGAAAUGGAUUUAAAGCCACUCCAGGAAGGAAAUCGGAUCCCAAAACCUGGUUGUCCUGGGCACAGGCUUCAGGUGACUGCAGAAGAUUCCUCUCUAGCAAUCCUGAACUGAGCAGAGAUGUGAAAACUUACUUCUUUCCGCUUUCUCGAAGCGCUCCAGGACGCAGGUGGCACGCUCAACGCGGGGAGGCGCCACCUACAGGACAGAGGAAGACCUGCAGCUUGGGCUUGAGAUUUCAACAGUCUGUGGCGGGGGCUGAUGAGGGCGGCCCCUCCUCCUCCUGGAGUAAUAAUAGUCCCUGACAUUUAUCGAAUGCUCUUCUCGUGCCAGACACUGUCCUGAGCACUUGACAUGUAUUAAUGAUUUUAAACCUCACAACAACCCUAUUAGCAUUCAACUCUAUGGGCCCUCAAUUCUGCAGCUUUGGUUUACCAUUUUUUGAGACUCGCUUACUCGUCUGGAAAGGAAAUCUUUGCUAAGAGCAUGCCCUUGUCACUUCGGCCUGAGUCCCAGAAUGAGAAGUUACAUGGAGCAGACCUGAACAAGAUUCACAACCUGAACAGAAUCACUGCAGCCAAUCCACAAACCUAAAAUUGUCUACAUUCCUGCCUGGGCAUGGUGGCUCAUGCCUGUAAUCCAGCACUUUGGGAGGCCGAGGUGGGCGAGUCACUUGAGUCAGGAGUUCGAGACCAGCCUGGCCAACAUGGUGAAACCCUGCCUCUACUAAAAAUACAAAAAAUUAGCUGAGCAUGGUGGUGCAUGACUGUAAUCCCAGCUACUUGGGAGGCUGGGUCAGGAGAAUCGCUUUAACUGGGAGGUGGAGGUUGCAGUGAGCCAAGAUCACGCCACUGCACUCCAGAGUGGGAAACAGAGCAAGACUCCACCUCAAAAAGAAGAAGGAGAAGGAGAAGGAGAUUAUCUACAUUCCUGAGGAGGAGAAGUUGUACUUAAACUACCUUGAUCCAACUUCCAGCUUUACAAUCAUUGCCCCCCACCAUGCAUAUAUCAUACAUAUAUACCUGCUAGCAUGAAUACCUGCAUCAUAUCUAGAAUUAAUGGGAAUAGUCAUAGGGCCAAUCUUUCUUAUAUCAAGCAAGCUGAACAAGGGUCCAAGGGAUAAGGCCACAGCUACUUCCUCCUGCUUUAGAACAGAGCUAAAUAAACCUGUUCCUAAGUCUUGUGAGUUAUUGCAUCCUUGCCUUAUAAGGAAUGAAGACUUAACCUGCUUCCUGGCAGUCAUUACUAACUGAGUGAAGAUUCCCAUUAAUCCAGAAAUGGGAGCCUCUCUGGCUUGCAUAUGUCCAGGAAUGGACAUACCACCCACAGUUUUACUCCUGGUGGCCAAUCGGUCCCGCACACAAACACAGGCACAUCUUUUAUUUAAUGCUCAAGAUUUGUGAACAACUCCCAGCACUGUGCCUUCCAAAGGGCUUGCAUUAAGUGCUGGUGAAGGAGCAGGGACCUCUAUCAUGGCCAGAGCCAGUCAAUAAUGACACCCUGGCAGCUCUCAAAGGUGCACGAGUGGAAUGGCCAUUGAGCUACUCCAUGCAAUGAAAAGUUCUAAUGGGGAGUGGGGACACUUCUCUCCCCAGUCCCAUCCCAUGGCUUGGCUGAAAAUUUUUUUCUUUUGGGAGAUCACUGGCUUUCUCCAGCAACCUUGACUAUAAGGAUGAGGAUGAGGAGAAAAAAUAAGAACUGCCGAGUGUGGUGGCUCACGCCUGUAAUCCCAGCACUUUGGGAGGCUGAGGUGGGUGGAUCACAAAGUCAGGAGUUCAAAACCAGCCUGGCCAAGAUGGUGAAAUCCCGUUUCUACUAAAAAUACAAAAGAAAAAAAAAUUAGCCAGGCGUGGUGGCGAGUGCCUGUAAUCCCAGCUACUGGUGAGGCUAAGGCAGAGAAUUGCUUGAACCAGGGAGGCAGAGGUCACAGUGAGCCGAGAUCAUGCCACUGCACUCCAGCCUUUGCAACAGAGUGAGACUCUGUCUCAAAAAAAAAAAAAGUACACAGGGGAGGUUGUGGGGAAUUUGGAAUAUUCCCUAAGGAUUUCCUCCAUUGAAGAGGUCUGCUUUAAAGUACUGGGGGUCCACAAACUCACCCCAUUUCCAGCUUGGCCUUGGGAGAAGAGGAGGACAGAGAACAGAAUUCUGGAUUGUUACUAGGUAGUUGGGCUGCAUCAGGAAGACAUUUUGGUAGAAGGAGAGGAAAGAGAGGUAGGAAGUGGGAAGGGAAGCACUAAGGGUUUUUUUUUUGACCCUGAUCCCCUUAGCUAGACAAGCUCAGUGGGGCUUAGGAUGGAGGUCAGGGAUAGCCUAAGAUCCUGUUACUGAAAGGGUAGUCUCCAGCCAGCAGCAUCAGCAUCACCUGGCUCUUAGGCUUCACCCCAGACCUACUGAAUCAGAAACUGCAUUUUAAUCCCUAGGUGAUAAGUAUGUCCAAUAAAAUUUCAGAAGCAUUAGCCUAGAUGCUUCAAUGGGAAUAACUUCUUGCAGUGAGCUAUUGAGGAACUGUGCUGGAUAAUCUCUCUGCCCUUCCAAAUCCACUUGCCAUCCUUAUUCCCCUGCUCUUGGGACUAAGAAGUGAAUUGAUGAAUUCGCUUCCUUUAUUCAUUGCUUCAACAGGCUCCCUUGUCAUCUGGCUUCUGGUUGGGCUCAGCCAAUGGUCAGUGCUCAAGAAGCAGUGACUUAAGUGACAUUAAUAGUGACUUUACCAGCCAGGCAGGGUGGCUCAUGCCUGUAAUCCCAGCACUUUGGGUGGCCAAGACGGGUGGAUCACCUGAGGUCAGGAGUUUGAGACCAGCCUGGCUAACAUGGUGAAAUCCUG